GGCGGCCCGGGGACCCCGGCGGGCCGCGAGCGCGCGCUCGCCUCCUGGACGCGCUGCGGUGGGGGAGGGGCGCGCCGCCUUGGUAAUUCUAUCUUCUCCGUCCCUCCCGGGCUCGCGGGCGUCGGCGGCGCCGCAGGCUGGCGGUAAGGCUGGAAAGGACUCCGGAAAGGCCAAGACAAAGGCGGUUUCCCGCUCCCAGCGAGCGGGCUUGCAGUUCCCUGUGGGCCGUAUUCAUCGACACCUGAAAUCUAGGACAACAAGCCACGGACGUGUGGGCGCGACCGCAGCUGUGUACAGCGCAGCCAUCCUGGAGUACCUCACCGCAGAGGUACUUGAGUUGGCAGGAAAUGCAUCAAAAGACUUGAAGGUAAAGCGUAUUACCCCUC
rnacentral:lncRNA from 1 species